AGAGUUUGAUCCUGACUCAGGACGAACGCUGGCGGCGUGCCUAAUACAUGCAAGUAGAACGCUGAAGAGAGGAGCUUGCUCUUCUUGGAUGAGUUGCGAACGGGUGAGUAACGCGUAGGUAACCUGCCUUGUAGCGGGGGAUAACUAUUGGAAACGAUAGCUAAUACCGCAUAACAAUGGAUGACACAUGUCAUUUAUUUGAAAGGGGCAAUUGUUCCACUACAAGAUGGACCUGCGUUGUAUUAGCUAGUAGGUGAGGUAAUGGCUCACCUAGGCGACGAUACAUAGCCGACCUGAGAGGGUGAUCGGCCACACUGGGACUGAGACACGGCCCAGACUCCUACGGGAGGCAGCAGUAGGGAAUCUUCGGCAAUGGGGGCAACCCUGACCGAGCAACGCCGCGUGAGUGAAGAAGGUUUUCGGAUCGUAAAGCUCUGUUGUAAGUCAAGAACGGGUGUGAGAGUGGAAAGUUCACACUGUGACGGUAGCUUACCAGAAAGGGACGGCUAACUACGUGCCAGCAGCCGCGGUAAUACGUAGGUCCCGAGCGUUGUCCGGAUUUAUUGGGCGUAAAGCGAGCGCAGGCGGUUUGAUAAGUCUGAAGUUAAAGGCUGUGGCUCAACCAUAGUUCGCUUUGGAAACUGUCAAACUUGAGUGCAGUAGGGGAGAGUGGAAUUCCAUGUGUAGCGGUGAAAUGCGUAGAUAUAUGGAGGAACACCGGUGGCGAAAGCGGCUCUCUGGUCUGUAACUGACGCUGAGGCUCGAAAGCGUGGGGAGCGAACAGGAUUAGAUACCCUGGUAGUCCACGCCGUAAACGAUGAGUGCUAGGUGUUGGAUCCUUUCCGGGAUUCAGUGCCGCAGCUAACGCAUUAAGCACUCCGCCUGGGGAGUACGACCGCAAGGUUGAAACUCAAAGGAAUUGACGGGGGCCCGCACAAGCGGUGGAGCAUGAGGUUUAAUUCGAAGCAACGCGAAGAACCUUACCAGGUCUUGACAUCCCGAUGCUAUUUCUAGAGAUAGAAAGUUACUUCGGUACAUCGGUGACAGGUGGUGCAUGGUUGUCGUCAGCUCGUGUCGUGAGAUGUUGGGUUAAGUCCCGCAACGAGCGCAACCCCUAUUGUUAGUUGCCAUCAUUCAGUUGGGCACUCUAGCGAGACUGCCGGUAAUAAACCGGAGGAAGGUGGGGAUGACGUCAAAUCAUCAUGCCCCUUAUGACCUGGGCUACACACGUGCUACAAUGGUUGGUACAACGAGUUGCGAGUCGGUGACGGCGAGCUAAUCUCUUAAAGCCAAUCUCAGUUCGGAUUGUAGGCUGCAACUCGCCUACAUGAAGUCGGAAUCGCUAGUAAUCGCGGAUCAGCACGCCGCGGUGAAUACGUUCCCGGGCCUUGUACACACCGCCCGUCACACCACGAGAGUUUGUAACACCCGAAGUCGGUGAGGUAACCUUUUGGAGCCAGCCGCCUAAGGUGGGACAGAUGAUUGGGGUGAAGUCGUAACAAGGUA
rnacentral:rRNA from 1 species